rnacentral:rRNA from 1 species
UACGAAGGGGGCUAGCGUUGUUCGGAUUUACUGGGCGUAAAGCGCACGUAGGCGGAUCGUUAAGUCGGGGGUGAAAUCCUGGAGCUCAACUCCAGAACUGCCUUCGAUACUGGCGAUCUUGAGUCCGGAAGAGGUGAGUGGAACUCCUAGUGUAGAGGUGGAAUUCGUAGAUAUUAGGAAGAACACCAGUGGCGAAAGGCGGCUCACUGGUCCGGUACUGACGCUGAGGCGCGACAGCGUGGGGAGCAAACAGG